ensembl:snRNA U6 U6 spliceosomal RNA
GUGCUCACUUGGGCAACACAUAUACUAAAAUUGGAAUGACACAGAGAUUAGCAUUGCCCCUGUGCAAGGAUGACAUGCAAAUUCAUGAUAUGUUCCAUAUUUCU